rnacentral:rRNA from 1 species
AACCACCUGAUCCCAUGCCGCACUCAGCAGUGAAACCGCUCAGCGCCGAUGGUAGUGUGGGGCUUCCCCAUGCGAGAGUAGGUCAUCGUCAGGC